ACGGAGGGUGCAAGCGUUAUCCGGAAUUACUGGGCGUAAAGAGUGCGUAGGCGGAUUGAUAAGUGUGAGGUGAAAGCCUAUAGCUCAACUAUAGAACUGCUUUCGAAACUGGGGGACUGGAGUAUGGGUGAGGAAGCCGGAAUCUGUGGUGUAGCGGUGAAAUGCUUAGAGAUUAGACGGAACACCAGUGGCGAAGGCGGGUUACUGGACCGUAACUGACGCUGAGGCACGAAAGCGUGGGGAUCAAACAG
rnacentral:rRNA from 1 species